rnacentral:rRNA from 1 species
GCGUGGGGGGGGUGCUAUACAUGCAGUCGAGCGGACAGAUGGGAGCUUGCUCCCUGAUGUUAGCGGCGGACGGGUGAGUAACACGUGGGUAACCUGCCUGUAAGACUGGGAUAACUCCGGGAAACCGGGGCUAAUACCGGAUGGUUGUCUGAACCGCAUGGUUCAGACAUAAAAGGUGGCUUCGGCUACCACUUACAGAUGGACCCGCGGCGCAUUAGCUAGUUGGUGAGGUAACGGCUCACCAAGGCGACGAUGCGUAGCCGACCUGAGAGGGUGAUCGGCCACACUGGGACUGAGACACGGCCCAGACUCCUACGGGAGGCAGCAGUAGGGAAUCUUCCGCAAUGGACGAAAGUCUGACGGAGCAACGCCGCGUGAGUGAUGAAGGUUUUCGGAUCGUAAAGCUCUGUUGUUAGGGAAGAACAAGUGCCGUUCAAAUAGGGCGGCACCUUGACGGUACCUAACCAGAAAGCCACGGCUAACUACGUGCCAGCAGCCGCGGGGUAAUGCCA